ACCUGGGUGGCUUGGUCGGUUAAGCGUCUGACUUCGGCUCAGGUCAUGAUCUCACGGUCCGUGAGUUCGAGCCUCGCAUCGGGCU
rnacentral:tRNA from 1 species